rnacentral:rRNA from 1 species
CUUAACAUGCAGUCGAGCGGUAGGCCUUUCGGGGUACACGAGCGGCGAACGGGUGAGUAACACGUGGGUGAUCUGCCCUGCACUUCGGGAUAAGCCUGGGAAACUGGGUCUAAUACCGGAUAUGACCUCCUAUCGCAUGGUGGGUGGUGGAAAGAUUUAUCGGUGCAGGAUGGGCCCGCGGCCUAUCAGCUUGUUGGUGGGGUAAUGGCCUACCAAGGCGACGACGGGUAGCCGACCUGAGAGGGUGACCGGCCACACUGGGACUGAGACACGGCCCAGACUCCUACGGGAGGCAGCAGUGGGGAAUAUUGCACAAUGGGCGAAAGCCUGAUGCAGCGACGCCGCGUGAGGGAUGACGGCCUUCGGGUUGUAAACCUCUUUCAGCAGGGACGAAGCGCAAGUGACGGUACCUGCAGAAGAAGCACCGGCUAACUACGUGCCAGCAGCCGCGGUAAUACGUAGGGUGCAAGCGUUGUCCGGAAUUACUGGGCGUAAAGAGUUCGUAGGCGGUUUGUCGCGUCGUUUGUGAAAACCAGCAGCUCAACUGCUGGCUUGCAGGCGAUACGGGCAGACUUGAGUACUGCAGGGGAGACUGGAAUUC